CCCUUAGAUGUUCUGGGCUGCACGCGCGCUACACUGAAGCGUUCAACGAGUAUUCACCUUGCCCGGGAGGGUUGGGUAAUCUUUUGAAAACGCUUCGUGAUGGGGAUAGAUUAUUGCAAUUAUUAAUCUUCAACGAGGAAUGCCUAGUAAGCGCAAGUCAUCAGCUUGCGUUGAUUACGUCCCUGCCCUUUGUACACACCGCCCGUCGCUCCUACCGAUUGAAUGGUCCGGUGAAAUCUCGGGACGGCGGCUUGGUCGCUUGCGUCCGACUGCUGAAACUUGAUUAAACCAUAUCAUUUAGAGGAAGGUGAAGUCGUAACA
rnacentral:rRNA from 1 species